ACAUGUACGAACUUCUCGAACAUAAGGAGCUGAGUGUUACUGUAAUCAGCUUGUACAUAAGGUUUUUGUACGAGAAGGUCGUGUGCACGAGGAAAUUGUCAAAUAAAUACUCAUUCUUGUCUCCACAUAAGAUGCCGAUGUGGAAACUCGAUCCAUACAAUGUAAAAAAAUACAUUGUAGAUAUGUUUUUAGGAAAUAUAGAAAGUGUUAAAUUGUUCUUGGCACCAUAUAAUUCAGGGGCACAUUGGGUGCUAUUUGCAAUCAAUGCGGUCUCUGAAGUUAUAUAUUAUUUGGAUCUCGUGCACGGCAAUUACAGCAAUCACCCCGAAAUAAAGACUAUGCUCGACA